GAUGAAGAACGUAGCGAAAUGCGAUAAGUAGUGUGAAUUGCAGAAUUCAGUGAAUCAUCGAGUCUUUGAACGCACAUUGCGCCCGCUAGUAUUCUGGCGGGCAUGCCUGUCCGAGCGUCAUUUCAACCCUCAAGCCCCCGGGCUUGGUGUUGGGGAUCGGCGAGCCUCCGCGCCCGCCGUCCCCUAAAUCUAGUGGCGGUCUCGCUGUAGCUUCCUCUGCGUAGUAGCACACCUCGCACUGGGAAACAGCGCGGCCACGCCGUUAAACCCCCAACUUCUGAACGUUUGACCUCGGAUCAGGUAGGAAUACCCGCUGAACUUAAGCAUAUCAAUAAGCGGAGGA
rnacentral:misc_RNA from 1 species